UACGUAGGGUGCGAGCGUUAAUCGGAAUUACUGGGCGUAAAGCGUGCGCAGGCGGUUCGCUAAGUCUGUUGUGAAAGCCCCGGGCUCAACCUGGGAACUGCAUUGGAAACUAACGGGCUCGAGUGUGGCAGAGGGGGGUGGAAUUCCACGUGUAGCAGUGAAAUGCGUAGAGAUGUGGAGGAACACCGAUGGCGAAGGCAGCCCCCUGGGCUAACACUGACGCUCAGGCACGAAAGCGUGGGGAGCAAACAGG
rnacentral:rRNA from 1 species